CUUUAUUCUUAAAUUGUGUUUUUAUGUUGGAAUAGGCUUACCUGUACUAGAGGGUGCCAUCACGUGCCUAUUUUGGAUCGUGACAAGUUUUCACGAGGUUUUAAUCUCGUUCUAGGGACGUAAAAUCAUACUGGAGAGAGGGUGGAGAGAGCUGGACAACGUCGUUUCGUGGCUGUUAAGGUCGUUUGGAGAGCUUAGACUAUGGAUGUUGUAUUGUUGCUACGGUUUUUUUUUUAUGUUGUUCCUUGUUGUCAUUGUAUUGGGUGGGUUUUGGAGAAGAGAGGUAAAGGAGUUAAAAGGGUGUGUGCUGAGUUUCAAUAGAUGUUGGGCUGUAUAGGUAGAAAUUAGGGUAGGAGAUUUGAGGAUUUAAACUAGGCUAUUUAUGAGAUAACCCAGUAGAUUUAGGAGCUAAUCAAUUGUAUUUUAAAUUUUAAACGAAUU
rnacentral:lncRNA from 1 species